GCUCAGGAUGAACGCUAGCUACAGGCUUAACACAUGCAAGUCGAGGGGUAGCAGGGUAGCAAUACCGCUGACGACCGGCGCACGGGUGAGUAACACGUAUCCAACCUUCCCAUAACUCGGGGAUAGCCUUUCGAAAGAAAGAUUAAUACCCGAUAGUACUUUUUCAAGGCAUCUUGAUAAAGUUAAAGAUUUAUUGGUUAUGGAUGGGGAUGCGUUCCAUUAGAUAGUUGGUGAGGUAACGGCUCACCAAGUCUUCGAUGGAUAGGGGUUCUGAGAGGAAGGUCCCCCACAUUGGUACUGAGACACGGACCAAACUCCUACGGGAGGCAGCAGUGAGGAAUAUUGGUCAAUGGGCGAGAGCCUGAACCAGCCAAGUA
rnacentral:rRNA from 1 species